UGUGAUGACGGCAGAAUUUGUCUCUUUUCUAAACGAGAAGAUUUCUACCUCCCAGGUGAUUCCUCUUUCCAAACAAAGAAUCUGACAUGCAUUUUGUUGCAAGGGAGUUAUAUAUAUUACUAUUAAUGUUAUGAAAAUAACUGUGCAUCAGAGCCUGAAGAAUAUUUUCCACUUUGCCGUCAACAGCUAUGCUGGCUAGAGAGAGAAUGAAUAAAAAAAAGAGACAGAGGUGCUGGGCAGAAACUGAGGACCCAGCUGUUGCCUGAAGGGGAGAGAGAUUCUCAUGUGGCACCACAAGCAACACACACCUCUACACUCAUGAAACAGUGACAAAAAACAACUCAGACUGGCAGCUGGUGGAAAGAAGACCUCUAAGAAGCAGCCAACACUGCUUGGCAGAUCCUAUGUGUGUGUGUAAUUUCAAGGGUCACGUGCCAUUGAUAUUCAUUAGACUCAUGGCAUUCCAUUCCAUUGGAUCCAGGGCUAGAGGCUAUCAUGAAGAAAACAGACAUCCUUCAACAGCAUUCCAGCAAAAUAACAAUUUGCUUGACCUACGGAUUCAACAAGUCACUGAUUCUUUUCUUUUUUUCCAUUACAUCUUUGGUUCAGGUUGAAAGCCCUGACUACAUUUUCCAAAAUGUCAUAUCAACAUCAAUUUGUGGAACAGAUUAUGGAAUGUAAAAAUACUGGGAGAUAACAAAAGAUGGAAACCCUACACUUAGAAAUUAAGUUGGGGGGGCGUAUUGCUGUCUUUGCAGCAGAGUUUAUGUUAGAAACUGCUAUUUAAUGUACUUUGGAAAUGUCUACAGUCAGCCUGUUGAAGUUUCCUCUUAUCACAGAGAAACAUCCCAUACGUGGGCUUGAAAGGCAGCAUUCCUCACAGCAGGGAUUAUAA